UAGCAUGGAUCUCUAUGAUCUAUACAGCCUGAGUGCAGACAGCUAGCUAGGUAUUUGCUUCCUUAGCAUGGAUCUCUAUGAUCUAUACAGCCUGAGUGCAGACAGCUAGCUAGGUAUUUGCUUCCUUAGCAUGGAUCUCUAUGAUCUAUACAGCCUGAGUGCAGAUAGCUCGCUAGGUAUUUGCUUCCUUAGCAUGGAUCUCUAUGAUCUAUACAGCCUGAGUGCAGACAGCUAGCUAGGUAUUUGCUUCCUUAGCAUGGAUCUCUAUGAUCUAUACAGCCUGAGUGCAGACAGCUAGCUAGGUAUUUGCUUCCUUAGCAUGGAUCUCUAUGAUCUAUACAGCCUGAGUGCAGACAGCUAGCUAGGUAUUUGCUUCCUUAGCAUGGAUCUCUAUGAUCUAUACAGCCUGAGUGCAGACAGCUAGCUAGGUAUUUGCUUCCUUAGCAUGGAUCUCUAUGAUCUAUACAGCCUGAGUGCAGACAGCUAGCUAGGUAUUUGCUUCCUUAGCAUGGAUCUCUAUGAUCUAUACAGCCUGAGUGCAGACAGCUCGCUAGGUAUUUGCUUUCCUUCACACAAGCCAUAUAGGUGGUGGGUUAACAUGUCUACUAUUGAACACACUGUUGCUAAUGAGAACAAAAGUUCCACCGACACCGUCUAACCCUUAA